AACAGAACAAACACAUUUUUUUUAUUGGAUAAACAUUUGAUAGAGCCAUUGCACAUAUUACAAUACGCUUGAUAACACAGUUGUUGUAAACAACCAAGUGGAGAGUAUGGAAGGCCAACUUUGCCAUGAUCUACAUUUGAGACUUUGUGACCUAUGCAUGUUGAAUACUACAAAAGCAUUCGAUGACAACAAGACUGUUUCGUGUUGACCCAAAAAUAAGGCAUAGGAUGGGCACACGAUUUAAAUGUCACAAAAAAGCAUAUAAAAUAUAUUAAACCCUUUCACUGCACUAGAGAGGGCACCACUAGUUUUAAAUACUUAUUUUCAUUUUAUUACUUGAUGAUAGCUGGAUAAAAAAUCUGUCAAAAAUUAUGUACACUUUGAAAGGGAAACAUUUUCUCAACUAAUUCCUAUGCUGACAAACCAAACAUCCUAAUGACAAUUACUUGGACAGUAGCUGACAGUGUAUUCAUUGUAAGACAGUUUUAUUUCGUUCCUUAGUUUUGUCAUAAAACAAACUGUCGCGUCUUAAAGCCAAUCUAAAACACGCAGCAAGUAAUAAACUAUAUCUCACAGAACUUAGUAACACACACACACACAUCAUCAAUAUUCUUCAAAAAAAAGUUCAAUUGAAAACUAUCUAGGUCAAUAUAAACGAAAGUCACGUGACUGCCAUCUAAUCUGGUUGUUGCAUUAAUCUGUACAAAGUGCUAGAAACAGGAUUGCAAUUCAAAACAAGUUGACUCUUAAAGUGUAGAAUUAUUUCAUUGUUUUAUUUAAUUCUAGAACUGAAGAGGUAUAAAAGUUCAGAUAGUGAUGUAACACUUCUCUAGUUGGUCAUCUCCGGAGAUAAUGACAUUUCCAAUUAUGUUCGUGUAGCUGUUGUUACAUGCUGUUAGUGGUUAUUUGUAUCUCUUCAUUAUCCAUUUUUUGUGUUCUGAACUAUCAAGUUUCUAGGGACGCUAGUUGUACCGGACGUGAUUAUGAGAGACAAGGCUCACAACUGGGACAUUGUCUCUACGUUAGCUUGGACAUAAAAAGCUCUUAAUUAUUCUUUACUAUCAGCAAUAAUUAUUCGAAUGUUGUAAGGAAGACAGCAUGAAGAGGUCAGUGUUUCACGUGGCUAAGAAGACCAUUGAGUGCGGACAACAUUUCUUGUUGAAAUGACUCAAACUCAGCCACUGGUUACUUGCAUCACUGUUAAUGAAAUGUUUCCAUACACAAAUACCCCAAUAACAAAAUGUCUCAGGGGGACCUGCUUAGACGUGAUAACCCAUUUAUUCAUCAAAAAUUUUAUCUAUCUAGCUGACAAAAAAAACAGCAAAAAAGAACAACCACAAAACUGUACUCGACAGAUCUUUUGAUUUUUAUGACGUCUAAAUGGAUUCUAAAACAUUCUGAAAGUUGCGUCAUUAUUCCAGCCUACAUCAGGACUUGAGACCAAGACCUCGUAGUCUGAAGAUUUUGUCAGGAUUGUGUUAGUGUUAGUUGGAAUGGCAGAACACUUUACAGAACAUAGUUUGAUUUGCAACAAUAUUCUUUUUUUUUUUGAAUGUAGUUUCUUCUAUGAAAAUUAUGACCUUAAACCUUAAUCAUUGGAAUUGUUAAAUUCUUUUGACAGCUUUCAAUGCAAAUAUAAUGUUCUGAAUGCAGUGUGCCAUACAA